GCCAGGUUAACCCUUCCAAGGGCGAGGGCAGGCCGGCCUGAAGGCCCUUCUUCACCAAUCCCGUGUGGGUGUGGCAGCGUGCAGGUGACAGGGAGGGUCUGCUUCAGUGACACCCUCAGUCUCAGCGCUAUCCUGAGGCAACCGCAGAUGAGGAAAUCGAGUUCAGAGAAGUAAAGUUUUGUGCCCGGGACCACACACCCAGAAGUGGUGGAGUUCAGGGGAAUCAAGACUGACUACUCAGAGCCUGUGCUUUCUUCUUACCCUCCCGCCAAGCUAAAUGGGGCCUUGUGCACAACAGACAAUGAGAAAAGGCAACUGACUUUCUGAAAAAUCUCCAAGGGUUUGUCAAGGCCAGUGCCACCAGCCACAUCUUUGGGGUGACACAACCUUCUGA